UGUGUCUUUUUUCAGACUGAGAGAACCCUGAUUGCUGCUUUGGCUGACUACCUGACCUCUGACCCCUGCUCCUGCUCUGACUGACCCAGAGAGAACUCAGACGCAGAG